AUUGAACGCUGGCGGCAUGCCUUACACAUGCAAGUCGAACGGUAACAGGUUAAGCUGACGAGUGGCGAACGGGUGAGUAAUAUAUCGGAACGUGCCCAGUCGUGGGGGAUAACGUAGCGAAAGCUACGCUAAUACCGCAUACGAUCUCCGGAUGAAAGCGGGGGAUCGCAAGACCCCGCGCGAUUGGAGCGGCCGAUAGCAGGUUAGGUUGUUGGAGAGGUAAAGGCUCACCAAGCCUGCGGUCUGUAGCUGGUCUGAGAGGACGACCAGCCACACUAGACCUGAGACACGGUCCAGACUCCUACGGGAGGCAGCAGUGGGGAAUUUUGGACACUGGACGGAAGUCUGAUCCAGCAAUGCCGCGUGCAGGACGAGGGCCUUCGGGUUGUAAACUGCUUUUGUACGGAACGAAACGGUGAACUCUAAUACAGUUUGCUAAUGACGGUACCGUAAGAAUAAGCACCGGCUAACUACGUGCCAGCAGCCGCAGUAA
rnacentral:rRNA from 1 species